AUUGUAAGUCUUUGGGCCCCACACAACAUAGAUACACUCCUGGGUCCUGAAUAUAACCAAGGCUGAGAUGGCCUGAUAGGCACAAGCACUGUCCGGACCUGCGGCCGUCAGGUGCCCGGCACACCCCACAUAGGUGCACAGGUGCUGCUCCGACUGGGUGGCUCUCCUUGUCGCCAUCCUGGUUUCUGCUUCCUUUCCUUUCCUUUUCCCCUUCCCUUCCCUUUUCUUUUUUCCUUUAAUGUGGAUUUCAGAAGUGGGGUGAAAAUGACCUCAGUGAAUAGCCCAGCUCCCUGGGACAGUGGCCUGGUAUUUUUGACGUGGGAGUGGCGUCUGCUCUGACUCAACCUGGACCGGCCCAGGGACAACACCUCCUUCGGAGUAGCCGCUUUGUUUCGUUUCGAGCAGCCCAGCUGCGUUCUGCAUGACCGAAUUGGACACCUCUCACUUCCUCUGAGAAUGGAACUUGGUGUUUAGAUGACGUGCAAGCCAAGUCAGUUGUGUAAAAUAGCACAACUCCACCUUUGGUCUCCCAUCCCAACCCCCAAGGCCUAAAAAAAGAAAAGAAACAGAAAAAAGCAACACCUGAGAGGAACUGGGCUUCAAACAAGUAAAGACUUUUAUAAGCGCAGCAAGUGCCUCCCUCUGGACUGGAGAGGGGCCGAGGGGGGCUCCCGAGACCUGUAGGAAUGUCGGAUCAAUGCCGUCCUAGCUGUGUGACCUGGGCCAGUUUAUUUAACAUCUCUGAGCCCCUGGUUUUUCAUCCUCACAGAGACAAUGACGUUCGUGUUUCUGUGAGACAUAAGCGGUGUAGCACCUGGCAGGCACUGAUGAAUUGUUCUCCUCCUCCCAGGAGCCCUGCUAUAGGGUCGAGCUACUGAGGCACCUUCCCAGUGCUGGAAAUGCUUCCUGUGGACACCUUCCCCCACCCCAAAGGAAGGAUUGGGUCAAUGGUCUUAAGCUCCAGCCCAUGCGGGGGUGGUCAAGCCUUCAAAGUGGAGGGAAACCCAGGCUCCAGGCUCUCCUGUGACACGUCGAUGAACAAAUCCUCCAGGAAUUAUGCUCCUUUGAAGUUCUUGGCCGAGUAAAACCCCUUCUCUCUGAGAACAAAGUAGCCCAUCCCCUGGGUCCCACCAGCCAGACUGAGCCACGUCCUGAGGCCUCCCUCUGCCUCACUGCCACACUUGGCGCCACAGAGGCCUGAGCCUCCUAUUGCCCGAGUGCCUUGCUGCCCAGGUCAACCCUCACCAUCGCUCAUCCUGAGCCUUCUAAUGCCCGAGUGCCUUGCUGCCCAGGUCAACCCUCACCAUCGCUCAUCUCUGCUCUGGACUCACAGCCACCUCCUGUCCAAAUUGGUUCUCCUGCCUCCACUCUUGCCCUCUCCCAGCCACGCUCCCCGGGCCACUGCCACCUUUCUAAGCACGUGCUGGCCUUCAUGGACCUCUGGGAUCAGCCCCUGUGCCCCUCUCCAGCCCCCUCUCUCCCAACCUCACUCUUGGGCUCUGGUGAAUCCAAACCAUGUCCUGUUGCCCUCAUGGGUCAGCCUCUGUCCCUCUGUUCCCCCACUCACUGUCAACAACUCAGAUUUCAAGGCUUGGUUUAAGCACCACUUCCUUUUGGAGUCUUUUUUUUUACCACCAUAGUGACCCCUCAGCCCUGCCACUCCUAGUUUCAGUCCCUCCUGGUCACCUGACUCCGUGUCUGUGGCACCUGGAGCACUUGGUGCUGAGAGCUAACACAGAGACAGAACAGGCUGCAGACCAGCCCUGUUCCAAAUGGCUCUUUUCAUGUUAACUCAUUUAAUCCUCACAAAAUUGCCCUAUGAGGUGGGUGCAGUUAUCAAAAUUUUUACAGGAAGCUGGGGCACAGAGAGGUUCAGUGACUUGCCAGUGACCACACAGCUACUAGGUGGCAAGACCCUUAGACCUUAGGGUGG
rnacentral:lncRNA from 10 species